AGGCUGGGGUGGGGACCUACCCGGGUGGUGGUCGGGACGCUGCGGGGCCCUCGGCUCAUCCUGGCAGCUGCUGCUGGCUGAGGGGUCCCCGGUUCCGUCCCAGGCCCAGCGAGCUCGUCCGUCCGGGGAGGCCUCUCACAGCAGGGCCGAGUGUGGGGGCACGGAGGGCGGGGUGGGAACGCCCGCACACCCAGCUCAUCAGACCGGUUGCUUCCCGGGGAGACGUGUUUUGUGUGGAAAAAUCCUGGGAGACAAGUUUGUGCGGCGCCGAGCGCACCUGGAGGCGCACGCACGCCCGGACACGGCCAGGCCCGCCCUCCGCGGGGGUCCAGCCGGUCUCCCUGGGCCCUGGCGGCCAGGCCUGGCCCAGGGCUGGGGCAGGUUCCGGGCGGAGGUCUGGCAGGCUUGUGAGGAGAGGCUUGGGUGGACGGGGCUCUGGUGGGGUCCCUGCCACGGGCGGGAGAGGGGUGCCGGUGGGGGUGGCCCCAUUUUCAACACUCGGCAGGGCCCCGGGGCCAGUUCGGUGAAGCUCCUGCUCUCUUGGCAGGGAGGGGCCUGUGGAGCCCUGGUUACCAUCUGUGGUGCUUCGGUGCCCAAAGCUGUAAGGAGCCCCCCUGAGGACAUGUGACCCCCCCAACCAUGGGACCUCGAGCCUCUGUGACUGGGAUCUCCGGAGAGCCUGGGGUCACUUUUUCUAAUUGCUGCAGGGCCAGUGGGACUGGCCAUGGCCUGGACCUGCCCCCACUGCUCUCACCCCAGGCUGGAGCCCCUCCGACCCUGGACCAGCCCAGUUCGGUCCUCCGCUCCCCAGACCCAGGGUGUGGGGUGAGCACAGGGGGCGUGGUGGCUCCGGAGGAGGCAGGUCUGUGGCAGAGGGAGGAGGAUUCACCCAGAAGCUUGGAGACAGCCCGUGCAGCCCACUGUGGGCCAGACUCCGUGGUCUGCAUUUAACCCCUCCCUGGGCCUUUGAUGCAGCAUCAGGGCGCGAACCUGGAACCUGAGGGCCUGGAAGGGCAGAGGGAGGGGCUGGCGGAGGCCCCAGCAGGAACCCGCUUGGCCCGGGAGGACCCAGAAUGGAAUGGUGGCUGGAGCCGCGGCCGGGCCAGCACCGAGUAGGAGCAGCAGUGGAGUCCUGGGUGCUUUCCAGCAGGGGAGCGGCUGUUAGAUUUGUGUUCAAAGGAGCACCAGCCUCGGGUUUCUCCUUCUCUCCCCCUGGCACCGGAGGAGUGAAAGCCGAUGCCACCUCCGGCAGAGUCCCGAGAAAACGGGUGAUGAGGGUGCACGCGCUCGCUGGGUUCAUGAGGACUGCCCAGCACCAGGCGGGUGUGGAAAACGUCGCACUCCGUCUAAUCCUACGGGCACCCCAGGAGGCCAAGUGCAACCGCCUCCCUUUCCUUUUUUUCUAAAUCCUCACCCGAGGAUAUCUUCCCAUUGAUUUUUACAAAGAGUGGAAAAGAGAGGGAAAGACAGAAACAUUGAUGUGAGAGAGACACAGCGAUGGGUCGCCUC